rnacentral:rRNA from 1 species
CGUCGUGAGACAGUUCGGUCCCUAUCUGCCGUGGGCGCUGGAGAAUUGAGGGGGGCUGCUCCUAGUACGAGAGGACCGGAGUGGACGCAUCACUGGUGUUCGGGUUGUCAUGCCAAUGGCACUGCCCGGUAGCUAAAUGCGGAAGAGAUAAGUGCUGAAAGCAUCUAAGCACGAAACUUGCCCCGAGAUGAGUUCUCCCUGACUCCUUGAGAGUCCUGAAGGAACGUUGAAGACGACGACGUUGAUAGGCCGGGUGUGUAAGCGCAGCGAUGCGUUGAGCUAACCGGUACUAAUGAACCGUGAGGCUUAACCUU